CCUGGCUCCGUUGAACGCUGGCGGCGCGCCUAACACAUGCAAGUCGAACGAGCGAGAGAGAGCUUGCUUUCUCAAGCGAGUGGCGAACGGGUGAGUAACGCGUGAGGAACCUGCCUCAAAGAGGGGGACAACAGUUGGAAACGACUGCUAAUACCGCAUAAGCCCACGGGUCGGCAUCGACCAGAGGGAAAAGGAGCAAUCCGCUUUGAGAUGGCCUCGCGUCCGAUUAGCUAGUUGGUGAGGUAACGGCCCACCAAGGCGACGAUCGGUAGCCGGACUGAGAGGUUGAACGGCCACAUUGGGACUGAGACACGGCCCAGACUCCUACGGGAGGCAGCAGUGGGGAAUAUUGCACAAUGGGGGAAACCCUGAUGCAGCGACGCCGCGUGGAGGAAGAAGGUCUUCGGAUUGUAAACUCCUGUUGUUGAGGAAGAUAAUGACGGUACUCAACAAGGAAGUGACGGCUAACUACGUGCCAGCAGCCGCGGUAAAACGUAGGUCACAAGCGUUGUCCGGAAUUACUGGGUGUAAAGGGAGCGCAGGCGGGAGAACAAGUUGGAAGUGAAAUCCAGGGGCUCAGCCCAUGAACUGCUUUCAAAACUGUUUUUCUUGAGUAGUGCAGAGGUAGGCGGAAUUCCCGGUGUAGCGGUGGAAUGCGUAGAUAUCGGGAGGAACACCAGUGGCGAAGGCGGCUUACUGGGCACCAACUGACGCUGAGGCUCGAAAGUGUGGGUAGCAAACAGGAUUAGAUACCCUGGUAGUCCACACCGUAAACGAUGAUUACUAGGUGUUGGAGGAUUGACCCCUUCAGUGCCGCAGUUAACACAAUAAGUAAUCCACCUGGGGAGUACGACCGCAAGGUUGAAACUCAAAGGAAUUGACGGGGGCCCGCACAAGCAGUGGAGUAUGUGGUUUAAUUCGACGCAACGCGAAGAACCUUACCAAGUCUUGACAUCCCUUGACGAUGCUGGAAACAGUAUUUCUCUUCGGAGCAAGGAGACAGGUGGUGCAUGGUUGUCGUCAGCUCGUGUCGUGAGAUGUUGGGUUAAGUCCCGCAACGAGCGCAACCCUUAUGGUCAGUUACUACGCAAGAGGACUCUGGCCAGACUGCCGUUGACAAAACGGAGGAAGGUGGGGAUGACGUCAAAUCAUCAUGCCCUUUAUGACUUGGGCUACACACGUACUACAAUGGCGUUAAACAAAGAGAAGCAAGACCGCGAGGUGGAGCAAAACUCAGAAACAACGUCCCAGUUCGGACUGCAGGCUGCAACUCGCCUGCACGAAGUCGGAAUUGCUAGUAAUCGUGGAUCAGCAUGCCACGGUGAAUACGUUCCCGGGCCUUGUACACACCGCC
rnacentral:rRNA from 1 species